GAUGAACGCUGGCGGCGUGCCUAAUACAUGCAAGUCGAGCGAAGAGGGGACGGGUGAGUAACACGUGGAGAACAUCCUAUAAGACUGGGAUAACUUCGGGAAACCGGAGCUAAAACCGAAACUUAUCGAAGGAUCCGCACGGCAUUAGCUAGUUGGAAAGGUAACGGCUUACCAAGGCCAGGAUGCAUCGGCGACCUGAGAGGGUGAUGUGCCACACUGGAACUGAGACCAGUUCCAGCUUCCUACGGGAGGCAGCAGUAGGGAAUCUUCCGCAAUGGGCGAAAGCCUGACGGAGCAACGCCGCGUGAGUGAUGAAGGCCUUCGGCUCGUAAAGCUCUGUCAUUAGGGAAGCGUUACCCAAUCAGAAAGCCACGGCUAACUACGUGCCAGCAGCCGCGGUAAUAC
rnacentral:rRNA from 1 species